rnacentral:rRNA from 1 species
CCUACGGGUGGCAGCAGUAGGGAAUAUUGCUCAAUGGGGGAAACCCUGAAGCAGCAACGCCGCGUGGAGGAUGAAGGUUUUCGGAUUGUAAACUCCUUUUGUUAGAGAAGAUAAUGACGGUAUCUAACGAAUAAGCACCGGCUAACUCCGUGCCAGCAGCCGCGGUAAUACGGAGGGUGCAAGCGUUACUCGGAAUCACUGGGCGUAAAGAGGGCUUAGGCGGGAUAGCAAGUCAGAUGUGAAUUCCUAUGGCUUAACCAUAGAACUGCAUUUGAAACUGUUAUUCUAGAGUAUGGGAGAGGUAGGUGGAAUUCUUGGUGUAGGGGUAAAAUCCGUAGAGAUCAAGAGGAAUACUCAUUGCGAAGGCGACCUGCUAGAACAUAACUGACGCUGAUGCGCGAAAGCGUGGGGAGCAAACAGGAUUAGAUACCCUUGUAGUC